GCCGGCAUAGCUCAGCUGGUAGAGCAACUGACUUGUAAUCAGUAGGUCCCGCGUUCGACUCGUGGUGCCGGCACCA
rnacentral:tRNA from 1 species